UGCAGUCGAGCGGUAGAGAGAAGCUUGCUUCUCUUGAGAGCGGCGGACGGGUGAGUAAUGCCUAGGAAUCUGCCUGGUAGUGGGGGAUAACGUUCGGAAACGGACGCUAAUACCGCAUACGUCCUACGGGAGAAAGCAGGGGACCUUCGGGCCUUGCGCUAUCAGAUGAGCCUAGGUCGGAUUAGCUAGUUGGUGAGGUAAUGGCUCACCAAGGCGACGAUCCGUAACUGGUCUGAGAGGAUGAUCAGUCACACUGGAACUGAGACACGGUCCAGACUCCUACGGGAGGCAGCAGUGGGGAAUAUUGGACAAUGGGCGAAAGCCUGAUCCAGCCAUGCCGCGUGUGUGAAGAAGGUCUUCGGAUUGUAAAGCACUUUAAGUUGGGAGGAAGGGUUGUAGAUUAAUACUCUGCAAUUUUGACGUUACCGACAGAAUAAGCACCGGCUAACUCUGUGCCAGCAGCCGCGGUAAUACAGAGGGUGCAAGCGUUAAUCGGAAUUACUGGGCGUAAAGCGCGCGUAGGUGGUUUGUUAAGUUGGAUGUGAAAUCCCCGGGCUCAACCUGGGAACUGCAUUCAAAACUGACUGACUAGAGUAUGGUAGAGGGUGGUGGAAUUUCCUGUGUAGCGGUGAAAUGCGUAGAUAUAGGAAGGAACACCAGUGGCGAAGGCGACCACCUGGACUAAUACUGACACUGAGGUGCGAAAGCGUGGGGAGCAAACAGGAUUAGAUACCCUGGUAGUCCACGCCGUAACGAUGUCAACUAGCCGUUGGAAGCCUUGAGCUUUUAGUGGCGCACUAACGCAUUAAGUUGACCGCCUGGGGGAGUACGGCCGCAAGGUUAAAACUCA
rnacentral:rRNA from 1 species